GGGCGGGUAGCCUAGUACGGAUAGGGCGCAGGCCCCCUAAGCCUGUGGUCGUGGGUUCAAAUCCCACCCCGCCCGCCA
rnacentral:tRNA from 1 species